rnacentral:rRNA from 1 species
GACGAACGCUGGCGGCGUGCCUAAUACAUGCCAGUCGAGCGGACUUAAAAAGCUUGCUUUUUAAGUUAGCGGCGGACGGGUGAGUAACACGUGGGCAACCUGCCUGUAAGACUGGGAUAACUUCGGGAAACCGGAGCUAAUACCGGAUAAUCCUUUUCUACUCAUGUAGAAAAGCUGAAAGACGGUUUACGCUGUCACUUACAGAUGGGCCCGCGGCGCAUUAGCUAGUUGGUGAGGUAACGGCUCACCAAGGCGACGAUGCGUAGCCGACCUGAGAGGGUGAUCGGCCACACGGGGACUGAGACACGGCCCAGACGCCUACGGGAGGCAGCAGGAGGGAAUCUUCCGCAAUGGACGAAAGUCUGACGGAGCAACGCCGCGGGAGUGAUGAAGGUUUUCGGAUCGUAAAACUCUGUUGUUAGGGAAGAACAAGUACGAGAGUAACUGCUCGUACCUUGACGGUACCUAACCAGAAAGCCACGGCUAACUACGU